rnacentral:rRNA from 1 species
GUGACGUGGAGCAAACCUCAGAAAGCCAAUCUCAGUUCGGAUUGUAGGCUGCAACUCGCCUACAUGAAGUUGGAAUCGCUAGUAAUCGCGAAUCAGAAUGUCGCGGUGAAUACGUUCCCGGGUCUUGUACACACCGCCCGUCACACCACGAGAGUUUACAACACCCGAAGUCAGUGGCCUAACCGCAAGGAGGGAGCUGCCUAAGGUGGGGUAGAUGAUUGGGGUGAAGUCGUAACAAGGUACC